GUCUCGUAAGUUGAAGAGGCCAAGAUUUCUUGGGUAAAUAAUAUAUUGCCGUAAGAGUGGAAUGCACCAAUAUUACCCAUAACUGUUAUCUAGCCUUGCUUGGAACUAUUAAAGUCUUAAUUUAGGGAAGAAAUUACACAAGAACACUUGGAAAUUUAGGUUCUUUUCAGGUUGAUAUUCUCUCCAGAGGGAAAAAUUCUGAUGCUUUUAAACCUUGUAGUGGGUUUCUCUUUGAAAUGCUUUAUCAUUGUAUUUUUGUUUGCAAAACACUUGUUUCCCCCAGUUUUAUAGCAGUCUCUCUUCUAUCUUAGUCCACCCUCCAUCUUGCAUUCUAGGGGUUUUCCCCCCUUUUUUUCCUCAUCUGCCUUUAACUUGAUCUUUUGAUCUAUUACCUGUAAACUCCUUAAUUCUGUAGUUCUGUUGCUAUUCUGCGGUAUGUUUUGUUUUUGUUUGGGUCUUUAAACUGCUGCUUUGUCUCCCUUCUUUUAUAUCCCAUUUUCUUCUGAUUCCUGAUGGUUACACAAUGUGAAUGCACAGGAGUGCAUCUGGCUUGGAUUGUGCUCUCUGGUCCAGAUUUAUUUAUGAAUUUGCUAGCAGUGUGUAGUUAAGGGUAUGCUUUGUUUAUUCUUUCAUGCAGCUGAUGGCUGUUGCUGCUUUGGUUUAGAGCCACAGGAGUAAAUGAGGCUUUGAGUGAAUAACUGCAUGUCACCCUGAAUAGAGCAGUUCUCGUGUACCUCAUCUGCAAAAAAUUCAAAAUAAUGGAAACACUGCAUAAUAGGAAUAAGCAGGGUGACUGCGCCAGUGCAAGACUUCGGCACCAAAAAUUCAAGGGCUUUGGCAGCAAAGGAAUAAAACUAUGCCUGUCCCAUAAAGAGUAGGCACGUCUACCUUGUUUGGCUAAAAAAAUCAAAAAAAAAAGAAAAAAAUCACAAACGCUUCCAGAAACAUGAAUGAAGGAACUCAAAAUCAGACUGAGGCUGUUCAGUCCAUUUGAUGGGAAUAUGACUGGCUUCUACUAAGAAUGAUGGACUUGCAUGAGAUACUGAUUUCUGAGCAGCCUGAUGCAGUCACUUCUGGAAACUACUAGUUUUGCAUGUUCUGAAAGGAAGAAUUGAUUGUAUGGUGCGGUGAGAAAUCUCGCUAUCUUUCCAUAUUAAUAAAAUAAAACUAUUUCA